UACGGAGGGAGCUAGCGUUGUUCGGAAUUACUGGGCGUAAAGCGCGCGUAGGCGGCUUUGUAAGUUAGAGGUGAAAGCCCGGGGCUCAACUCCGGAACUGCCUUUAAGACUGCAUCGCUAGAAUCCGGGAGAGGUGAGUGGAAUUCCGAGUGUAGAGGUGAAAUUCGUAGAUAUCGGGAAGAACACCGGAGGCGAAGGCGGCUCACUGGACCGGUAUUGACGCUGAGGUGCGAAAGCGUGGGGAGCAAACAGG
rnacentral:rRNA from 1 species